rnacentral:rRNA from 1 species
GAACGCUGGCGGCGUGCCUAAUACAUGCAAGUAGAACGCUGAAGAGAGGAGCUUGCUCUUCUUGGAUGAGUUGCGAACGGGUGAGUAACGCGUAGGUAACCUGCCUUGUAGCGGGGGAUAACUAUUGGAAACGAUAGCUAAUACCGCAUAACAAUGGGUGACACAUGUCAUUUAUUUGAAAGGGGCAAUUGCUCCACUACAAGAUGGACCUGCGUUGUAUUAGCUAGUAGGUGAGGUAACGGCUCACCUAGGCGACGAUACAUAGCCGACCUGAGAGGGUGAUCGGCCACACUGGGACUGAGACACGGCCCAGACUCCUACGGGAGGCAGCAGUAGGGAAUCUUCGGCAAUGGGGGCAACCCUGACCGAGCAACGCCGCGUGAGUGAAGAAGGUUUUCGGAUCGUAAAGCUCUGUUGUAAGUCAAGAACGAGUGUGAGAGUGGAAAGUUCACACUGUGACGGUAGCUUACCAGAAAGGGACGGCUAACUACGUGCCAGCAGCCGCGGUAAUACGUAGGUCCCGAGCGUUGUCCGGAUUUAUUGGGCGUAAAGCGAGCGCAGGCGGUUUGACAAGUCUGAAGUUAAAGGCAGUGGCUCAACCAUUGUAGGCUUUGGAAACUGUUUAACUUGAGUGCAGAAGGGGAGAGUGGAUUCCAUGUGUAGCGGUGAAAUGCGUAGAUAUAUGGAGGAACACCGGUGGCGAAAGCGGCUCUCUGGUCUGUAACUGACGCUGAGGCUCGAAAGCGUGGGGAGCGAACAGGAUUAGAUACCCUGGUAGUCCACGCCGUAAACGAUGAGUGCUAGGUGUUAGGUCCUUUCCGGGACUUAGUGCCGCAGCUGACGCAUUAAGCACUCC